UACGUAGGGUGCAAGCGUUGUCCGGAAUUAUUGGGCGUAAAGAGCUCGUAGGCGGUCUGUCGCGUCGGCUGUGAAAACCUGGGGCUUAACUCCGGGCCUGCAGCCGAUACGGGCAGACUAGAGUUCGGCAGGGGAGACUGGAAUUCCUGGUGUAGCGGUGAAAUGCGCAGAUAUCAGGAGGAACACCAGUGGCGAAGGCGAGCCUCUGGACAUUUCCUGACGCUGAGGCACGAAAGCCAGGGGAGCAAACGGG
rnacentral:rRNA from 1 species